UGGCUGCACCGUCAGGCCAGUAGAGCUAGCGGUCCAAAAGCCCGCGAAGGUAGAAAACACGUCGGGGCUUCUCGGGAGCUGCCUCUGGAGAGGAAGCCGAAAGCCCUUCCCCAGCUCACUGGGUGAAUUCAUUCCUUUCUUGGAGGCUUCAGCUGCCACCAAAUCCCUCCGUCCCCGAGGAGCUCGGCACGAUAGUGGAGGAACUGGGCGCUGCGGCUAGAAUUCGCAAUGGGAUAUAACCAAUCUGAACUUGUGCUGGCCUGAGUGACAGAGCAGGAGAGGAACCUUCCCUUACAAGGAACUGCCCCAGGGUUUACGACCUUUCGGUGCUGGAUCAUGGGGAGCUUUGAAUAGCCAGCUUCCACGUUGUCAACAACUCGACAGAGAGGCCCAUGUGAUAAGGUACUGACCUCCUCUCAAAAGCCAUGUGAUGACCUUGGAAGCAGAAUCCUUCAGCCCAGAAGCCUUCAGAAGAUUGCAAAGCUGGCUGACAUCUUGACCUCAACCUCAGGAGAGACCCUGAGCCAGA